rnacentral:misc_RNA from 1 species
AACUGAUACUACCUGCGGGAACCUGCGGAGGGAUCAUUAACAAAUCCGAAUAUAUUGUGACGAAUAGGUUAUUUAUUUGUUGCAAAUAUUUACUCGCUGGUUUGGCCCAUUGGGUUGAACUGGUGAUAUUAUAUAAAUGCAUGUUGUGUUGACAGUGUGUGAGUGACUUUAAUUAUUGACAACUUUUAACAAUGGAUCUCU